rnacentral:rRNA from 1 species
CGUAGGGGGCGAGCGUUGUCCGGAUUUAUUGGGCGUAAAGAGCUCGUAGGCGGCUUGGCAAGUCGGGUGUGAAACCUCCAGGCUUAACCUGGAGACGCCACUCGAUACUGCCAUGGCUAGAGUCCGGUAGGGGACCACGGAAUUCCUGGUGUAGCGGUGAAAUGCGCAGAUAUCAGGAGGAACACCGGUGGCGAAGGCGGUGGUCUGGGCCGGCACUGACGCUGAGGAGCGAAAGCGUGGGUAGCAAACAGGAUUAGAUACCCUGGUAGUCCACGCCGUAAACGUUGGGCACUAGGUGUGGGGCCUUAUCAACGGGUUCCGUGCCGUAGCUAACGCAUUAAGUGCCCCGCCUGGGGAGUACGGCCGCAAGGCUA